CGGCAGGCUUAACACAUGCAAGUCGAACGAGAAACUAGACUUCGGUUUAGUGGAAAGUGGCAGACGGGUGAGUAACGCGUGGGAAUCUACCUUUGAGUGGGGAAUAACAACUAGAAAUGGUUGCUAAUACCGCAUAUACCCUUCGGGGGAAAGGCUUCGGCCGCUCUUAGAUGAGCCCGCGUACGAUUAGUUUGUUGGUAAGGUAAAGGCUUACCAAGACUACGAUCGUUAGCUGGUUUGAGAGGAUGAUCAGCCACACUGGGACUGAGACACGGCCCAGACUCCUACGGGAGGCAGCAGUGGGGAAUAUUGGACAAUGGGCGAAAGCCUGAUCCAGCCAUGCCGCGUGAGUGAAGAAGGCCUUAGGGUUGUAAAACUCUUUCGGCAGGGAAGAUAAUGACGGUACCUGCAGAAGAAGCACCG
rnacentral:rRNA from 1 species